rnacentral:rRNA from 1 species
ACGGAAGGCAGCAGUGAGGGAUAUUGCACAAUGGGGGAAACCCUGAUGCAGCGACGCCGCGUGAGUGAAGAAGUAUUUCGGUACGUAAAGCUCUAUCAGCAGGGAAGAAAAUGACGGUACCUGACUAAGAAGCCCUGGCUAACUACGUGCCAGCAGCCGCGGUAAUACGUAGGGGGCAAGCGUUAUCCGGAUUUACUGGGUGUAAAGGGAGCGUAGACGGUAUGGCAAGUCUGGUGUGAAAACCCGGGGCUCAACCCCGGGAUUGCAUUGGAAACUGUCAAACUAGAGUGCAGGAGAGGUAAGUGGAAUUCCUAGUGUAGCGGUGAAAUGCGUAGAUAUUAGGAGGAACACCAGUGGCGAAGGCGGCUUACUGGACUGUAACUGACGUUGAGGCUCGAAAGCGUGGGGAGCAAACAGGAUUAGAUACCCUGGUA